GGGAAUAACAUGGCUGA
rnacentral:misc_RNA from 1 species